GAUGAACGCUGGCGGCGUGCCUAAUACAUGCAAGUCGAGCGAACAGACGAGGAGCUUGCUCCUCUGACGUUAGCGGCGGACCGGUGAGUAACACGUGGAUAACCUACCUAUAAGACUGGGAUAACUUCGGGAAACCGGAGCUAAUACCGGAUAAUAUAUUGAACCGCAUGGUUCAAUAGUGAAAGACGGUUUUGCUGUCACUUAUAGAUGGAUCCGCGCCGCAUUAGCUAGUUGGUAAGGUAACGGCUUACCAAGGCGACGAUGCGUAGCCGACCUGAGAGGGUGAUCGGCCACACUGGAACUGAGACACGGUCCAGACUCCUACGGGAGGCAGCAGUAGGGAAUCUUCCGCAAUGGGCGAAAGCCUGACGGAGCAACGCCGCGUGAGUGAUGAAGGUCUUCGGAUCGUAAAACUCUGUUAUUAGGGAAGAACAAAUGUGUAAGUAACUAUGCACGUCUUGACGGUACCUAAUCAGAAAGCCACGGCUAACUACGUG
rnacentral:rRNA from 1 species